rnacentral:rRNA from 1 species
GAUGAACGCUGGCGGCGUGCUUAACACAUGCAAGUCGAACGGAAAGGCUCCUGCUUGCAGGGGUACUUGAGUGGCGAACGGGUGAGUAACACGUGGGUGAUCUGCCCUGCACUUCGGGAUAAGCCUGGGAAACUGGGUCUAAUACCGGAUAGGACCACAUUUUGGAUGGUGUGGUGGAAAGUUUUUCGGUGUGGGAUGAGCUCGCGGCCUAUCAGCUUGUUGGUGGGGUAAUGGCCUACCAAGGCGUCGACGGGUAGCCGGCCUGAGAGGGUGUACGGCCACAUUGGGACUGAGAUACGGCCCAGACUCCUACGGGAGGCAGCAGUGGGGAAUAUUGCACAAUGGGCGCAAGCCUGAUGCAGCGACGCCGCGUGGGGGAUGACGGCCUUCGGGUUGUAAACUCCUUUCGCUAGGGACGAAGCGCAAGUGACGGUACCUGGAGAAGAAGCACCGGCUAACUACGUG